GCCCGGCUCCGGGUCUCGGCCCGCACCGACCGGCCCGACAUGCUGCUGGGGCUUUGGGGAGGGAGGGGAGGGGCAGGGC
ensembl:miRNA gga-mir-762 gga-mir-762